CUGUGCGCAUAUUAUUAUAUGAUUAUUAAACUUCUAAACAUUAGAGAAAAGAAACCAACAAAUGCAAUGUGUUUAUAUGUUUGUAUUGUGCAUAGUAAUUAAAGAGACCUAAGUGUGUGUGCUAUGGAAUACAUCUUAUAGGGAAGUCUCUAUAAUUGGAGGACCCAAAUAUUCAAUCCCAUCCAUUUGAGAGUUUUCUGGCAUCUCUAUUUCUUCCAACCAUCCAUAACUUUCAUUUUCUUCUUUCAACUCAGCAAUUUCUCCAUCUGCAAUAUUUGAAAUCAUUGAUUGUAAGAGACUCAAUAAUAAAAAUAAAAUGAUAUCGUUAAUAAGUGCAUCUGGGAUACUCUUUAAGGAUGUCAAAUUACAAAAUUAUUCCUAAAAAAAUUCAAAAUAGAGACUAUUUAUACAAACUGAUGAAGGAAUAAAAUUUUCAUUAAAAUUUUAUCAUGAUUAAACUUGAAGACUUAUGAUUUUAUCCGGAGUAAAAACAUAUUUAACCAUAAAAAUAAUACUAUACAAAAGUGUUCAUUUUUUAUUUUCACUUCUAUGUUUUUUUUUUUUAAAACUCGGUAUCCGAUCCAAGAAUCGACUAAUCCGAGAGGACCAAUCCCACCGUCCACUUGUGAGGGCCCCGUUUAAAGCCAGAGCAAGCUCUGUAUGGACUUAGCCCACCGAAAUUGACACUAGAAGAAAUCGAACCUAAGACCUCUGGAAGAGCAAACUCCAAAAUCUCAAACCAACCACUAGGUCAACCCCAGGUGGGUUCACUUCACUCCUAUGUUUUAAUGUAGAGUUGUUUAACUCACUUUUAGUGGGCCCUAUCAUAUUACAUGAACAUUAAGCAUUUUAUCAAUCUUGCAAGUUGCAAAUCCAUAAACUAUAUAUGUAUAACGGUCUAAAAAUAAAGUGUUGCUUACUAGGAAAAGCAGUGUAAAGGUGAUCUCUAUAGUAAGAACAAUCUCUGCCAUCAUCUUUGGAAUAAGGAGGUCCAAUGACAUCAAGAACAGCACAUGGAGUUAUGGCUGUGAAUUCAUGGAUAUUGCCUCCAGUUUUUGGAUACAACACUGAAGUGUCACAUGGUGAUGUGAACACUUUAUUUGCUUUUAACUUUGCCAACCUCACUGCAAAAAAUACCAUGUGUACAAGAUUAAAUUUCUAUUAACUAUAAACGUUGUGAGAAAUGCUAUCAACGUACUUUGUACUUGUUAUUUAUUAUUGGGUGAAAUUUAUGUAUGUCUGACUAAAUAAAAAGUUGGGCCCACCAAAUAGGAUGUGUAUUCUUUGUUGUUAAGAAAUCACACAUUCGAUACAAUCAUGUGAUCUAAAUGUUCUAGGCAAAUAUUAGACGAACUGAAUUUCAGUAAUAAAGUUUAAAAUGUAAAGUUGGAGAUGAAUUUUAAUUUAUGGAUCCAACUUUCUUGUUGUUUGGGAUUCACACAUUUGGUGCGGUUACCUCGUCUGAAUUUCGAAUCAAGAUCAGACGGUCCAUGUUCUAAAUUUCAGCAAUCAAGUCUAAAAAUACAAAGUCAAAACUUGAGAUGUUCAAUCUUGAUUUGAUAGUCUAAAUCAACGACUACAAAAUUGCAUGAAAACUAGAAAGUCCGUUCUACCCAAUAAUAAGACCGGUCAAGGGUUUUAAAUUUUGUCCACAACCGCAAUUGUGGCUGCAGUAUAACUUUUUCAAAGGUUUUUGCAACGACAUCGCAACCUCAAGUGAGGCUGCAUCGGUCAAACUUGCCUACAUUUUACUGUAAUAUAAAGGUUUGCAGCAUAACCGCUAUCAUAAUUUAAACCAUGGGCAAGUGUUACAAAGAAUGUUUUAUAGAUAUACUACUAAAACACCUCAUCCCAUGAAUUGAGAUUAAUUUAAUUUGGUGAUAUGAAUAAUAUUUGAAUACAUACAUUGAGAUGGUUGCUUCAACAAAUUGUGAGAGACAUCAGGAUCAACCCAAUCAUAAGACUUAAUGUGCAUUUGUCCCAACAAAAGCUUACUGAAAACAGUCAUUCCUGGGUGGUUAUGAAGAGGAAUGACUCCUUUUGAAGGUAGGAAAAAAAUACAUAGCUGCAUGUACAAAAAAAUACACUUAAAUUAAUUACAUAUAUAUUCUAGCUAGUAAUUGCAUUGGUGACAAACGAUUAAAAUAAGAGAUUGCAAGACUUACUGAAAAAUUAUCACAUUUGUAUAUGGUUGUAUAUGUGACCCUUGGAUUCUCUCUGAAAAUGCUUUCAGGUUUGAAGAACUGCAAAUCUUUACUUAGUCCAACAUCUUCUGGCUUCAUGUUGUCUGGUUAUUAAAAAAAAUAUAAUUAAGAACAAUACUUGUGGUUUGUUUUUUAACCAUCGAGCUUCAAAGAAAAGAGACCAUGAUAAUUCAGAGUUCGGCCGAGUGAUAAGUCUGACAAAUAAUAAUUUAAAAGGAAUAUCUUGUGAAAGAUAAAAGGUGACUAUCUUGUGUUAGAGAUUUGAAACAUAUGUUAUUUUAAUUUUUAAAUGGGAACUAGAGAAAGAACGUAUCAAUCAGUCAAAUACUCAACUUAACUAUAAUAAAUUAUGCAUUAACCAAGCAAAUUAUAAAUAAAUAAACAGCUUGAUGUAAAGAAAAUGAAAUGAACCCUUGAUGAAGUGCAAAAGCUAAAAUAGAAGUAACAUCUUACCAACAAUUUGAAAGGACAAACACACUCACAUUUCAUCUUAAGAUAACAAAUUGAUUGGUAGCUUACUACUUUGUAACUUCUUCAUCCUGUUAUAUUUAUAAGAAAAAAACAAUUGUUUGGGUUCACUGAAUAACUAAUAUAUUUAGUAUCAUUUAUAAAUCAAAUAUAUCAGAUAUUCAAUGAACCAAAAAAGUUGUGUUUUGCUUAUAAUAUAAAUAUGAUUUAAGAGAGUAUAUUUAUAUACAUUAAACAAUUCACAUUCACAACAUGCAAAUGAAGAUAAUCACGAAUUUCAAAGACAUGACACAAAAAUCUGUAAACUAACAUAUAAUUGGACACAAAAUCUAACAACAAAUCAACUUGCACAUUUUUGUAACCCAAUUAAACACUCAAUUUAAAACUUAUAAAAAAAUUCAAAAGAAAUUGAUCAUACCAAGAAUGUGACAUAGUUUGUGAACAUUUUGUGGUGAAGGGACAGUGUUAGGUCCUUUGAAUGUUUCCUUGCAUGAGACAAAUAAUUUCUGAAGUGCCUUAUUAGACAUUGGCUUCUUAACCUUGUUACUAUGAUAAGGUUUCCUCUUUUUGACAAUGACCCUUUUCAUAUAACCAACUUUUUCAACAUUUCUAACUCUUUCUUCAUUUUUUUCUACUAAACUACCCUCCAUUUUCAUAGAUAUACCUCCAAUAUCUUCCUUCAUAUGUUAACACCAAAUCUUCUAUGUCACCACUCAAUUUAUAAGCCCUUUUCAACUUUCAAAAACUUACUUAAAAGGGAAACUUUCAAAUGUUUUUUUUCUCUCUCUUUUUUGUGGUUGUGAUCUUUAAUAAAUUGAGUAGAUUGUGUCAAAAUGAAAGAGGUUCAUUGAUAUUUUGAGUAAGAGUUGUAAAAGUGAAAAAUAAAAAGUAAUAUUCAUGAAGAGAGAAUGAGCAUUUUGGAGAUGAAAUGCUAGAGAAG
rnacentral:lncRNA from 1 species